rnacentral:rRNA from 1 species
CCGACGGUGAGAGAUGAAAGCUGGGGAGCAAACCGGAUUAGAUACCCGGGUAGUCCCAGCCGUAAACGAUGUGCGUUAGGUGUAUCGGUGACCACGAGUCACCGAGGUGCCGAAGAGAAAUCGUGAAACGUACCGCCUGGGAAGUACGGUCGCAAGGCUGAAACUUAAAGGAAUUGGCGGGGGAGCACCACAACAGGUGGAGCCUGCGGUUUAAUCGGACUCAACGCCGGGAAACUCACCAGAUAAGACAGCUGAAUGAUAGUCGGGCUGAAGACUCUACUUGACUAGCUGAGAGGAGGUGCAUGGCCGUCGUCAGUUCGUACUGUGAAGCAUCCCGUUAAGUCAGGCAACGAGCGAGACCCACGCAACAGUUGCUAG